AAGAGUUUGAUCCUGGCUCAGGACGAACGUUGGCGGCGUGCUUAACACAUGCAAGUCGAGCGGUUUGGUGGUGGGUGGUUAGUGGUUAGUCUUUUGGGGUUUUUGUGGAUAAUCUGCCUGUAAGACAGGGAUAACGCCGGGAAACCGGUGCUAAUACCGGAUAACCUCUUUGGAUCGCAUGAUAUGAAGAGAAAAGGUGGCCUCUUUACAAUGCUACCACUUACAGAUGAAUCCGCGUCCCAUUAGCCAGUUGGUGGGGUAAAGGCCUACCAAAGCGACGAUGGGUAGCCGGCCUGAGAGGGUGACCGGCCACACUGGAACUGAGAUACGGUCCAGACUCCUACGGGAGGCAGCAGUGGGGAAUCUUCCGCAAUGGGCGAAAGCCUGACGGAGCAACGCCGCGUGAGCGAAGAAGGUCUUCGGGUCGUACAAUUUCCCGUAAAUAAUGGGAAGGAAUGACGGUACCCCAAAAACAAGCCACGGCUAACUACGUGCCAGCAGCCGCGGUAAUACGUAGGUGGCGAGCGUUGUCCGGAAUUACUGGGUGUAAAGGGCGUGUAGGCGGGAAGACAAGUCAGAUGUGAAAUACCGUGGCUUAACCACGGGGCUGCAUCUGAAACUGUUUUUCUUGAGUGUCGGAGAGGAAAGUGGAAUUCCCAGUGUAGCGGUGAAAUGCGUAGAUAUUGGGAGGAACACCAGUGGCGAAGGCGACUUUCUGGACGAUAACUGACGCUGAGGCGCGAAAGCGUGGGGAGCAAACAGGAUUAGAUACCCUGGUAGUCCACGCUGUAAACGAUGGAUACUAGGUGUGGGAGGUAUCGACCCCUUCCGUGCCGCAGUUAACACAAUAAGUAUUCCGCCUGGGGAGUACGGCCGCAAGGUUGAAACUCAAAGGAAUUGACGGGGGCCCGCACAAGCGGCGGAGCAUGUGGUUUAAUUCGAAGCAACGCGAAGAACCUUACCAGGUCUUGACAUCCCUCUGACCGGUCCGUAACGGGACCUUUCCUUCGGGACAGAGGAGACAGGUGGUGCAUGGUUGUCGUCAGCUCGUGUCGUGAGAUGUUGGGUUAAGUCCCGCAACGAGCGCAACCCUUAUCUUUAGUAGCCAGCACGUAACGGUGGGAACUCUAGAGAGACUGCCGAGGAUAACUCGGAGGAAGGUGGGGAUGACGUCAAAUCAUCAUGCCCCUUAUGAUCUGGGCUACACACGUGCUACAAUGGCCGGUACAAAGGGUUGCAAAACCGCGAGGUGGAGCAAAUCUCCAAAAAUGGUCCCAGUUCGGAUUGUAGGCUGCAACUCGCCUACAUGAAGUUGGGAUCGCUAGUAAUCGCAGGUCAGCAUACUGCGGUGAAUACGUUCCCGGGCCUUGUACACACCGCCCGUCACACAACGAAAGUCGGCAACACCCGAAG
rnacentral:rRNA from 1 species